ACGGAGGGUGCAAGCGUUAAUCGGAAUUACUGGGCGUAAAGCGCACGCAGGCGGUCUGUUAAGCUAGAUGUGAAAGCCCCGCGCUCAACGUGGGAGGGUCAUUUAGAACUGGCAGACUAGAGUCUUGGAGAGGGGAGUGGAAUUCCAGGUGUAGCGGUGAAAUGCGUAGAGAUCUGGAGGAACAUCAAUGGCGAAGGCAACUCCCUGGCCAAAGACUGACGCUCAUGUGCGAAAGUGUGGGUAGCGAACAGG
rnacentral:rRNA from 1 species